rnacentral:antisense_RNA from 1 species
CUUGAUCGAACCCAACCACAACGGGUGCUCUUUGGUGCGAGCGGCGCCGUAGGUGGCGAUCAGAGCACCGGCCUC